AGGAUCAUUCUCAGUGAUCUACUUCCUCUGCCUGUGCCCCACCUCCUACACUUUCCAGCACCUUCCAAAAUACCAGCAUGAGAACAAGUAUUCAGUCCAUGAGUCUUUGGAGCACUUCCUGUCCAAAGGGCAGCGGUGGGUGGGUGGAGCCCAUCUCACUGUGGGGUUGCUGGAGUUCACCCCUCCUGUCUGCCAGUCCCAGCCCCUCACUGCUCAGGUCCUUGUCCUGGAACCCGACUUCCUCUCUUCCUUGGUACUGGUCUUACGGUUUCCUUCACUGACAGACAGACCGCCUGCGAUCCACCUCCUGAGAGCCAUCUCCCGCCCUCCCGUGAGGGCAGAUGGAGCUUGUGUC
rnacentral:lncRNA from 1 species